AACGCAAAUGGCGCUCCCGGGAUAGGCCUGAGAGCACGCCUCUUUGAGUAUCGAUUCCACCACAUCCAGUUAACAUGCUGGGACAUUGAGUCAUCACAGUCUAACCCACUGCGUGACUUUAAGAAGAACGGGUUAAAUGAGAUUUGCACUGGCCUUCGGGCCUAGGAUCCGCAACUCUCAAGCGUGACGUGGAUAACCUCACUUUUAGUGAACCCAUCCAAUACGUGACGCUUGACUGCGGUCUCCGAACAUGCAAAUGAUCGUUGACCCUUAACCCAUCAAACCUUUGAAUUAGAUCUCAAAUGAAGCGAGAAUACCCGCUGAACUUAA
rnacentral:misc_RNA from 1 species